UUUUCUUUAAAAAAUUAAACAAUGAAGCAUUGACAUGCACAAAAAGGAUGUUAUCUGAUAUAUAAUUUGACAUUAAUAAAUAUAAAUGUAUAUAUAUGGAUGUGGAUAUGAGAUGAGGAUGAGCCGGCGCAGUGAGAGGAUCGACCCACUCGCACCUGUUGACCGGAUUCCGGAUUUUCCAGGUUAAAAUGUAAAAUGGCGACAAACCGGAAAUGAAACAGGUGGACGUUCUCAACCCUGACGGUUUACUCCGGUGAUUUGUUUUUGUGUGAAGAAAGUGGAGUUUGUUUUCUUUUUCCUGCCGGAUAAACCCGCAAACAGAGGCAGUAAGUCAGCGCUGUGAGCUCUGCUCCUCUUCAGUGGGGCUGUUUUAUAAACUCUGCUUGGACGGGAAUGAGAAACUCCGCAUAAACAAGCGGAGCGACUUUCUUCACCACACGGUAACUUCACUUUAAAUAUGAUCUCUGAGCUGAACACGGUGUCGGGACACGAACACCACAAGACUGAAGUGUGUCAUGCAAAGUGUUCAGACUUCAGGUUUUGUAUAUAAGGAAGUCCCGUGCUUACAUUUGAACCCUUACAGUGGUGUGUGUGUGUGUGUGUGUGUGUGUGUGACAGUGUUGUCUCUCUGUGUGUGUGACAGUGUUGUCUCUGUGUGUGUGUGUGUGUGACAGUGUUGUCUCUCUCUGUGUGUGUGUGUGUGUGUGUGUGUGUGUGUGUGUGUGACAGUGUUGUCUCUUGUUGUCUCUGUGUGUGUGUGUGUGACAGUGGUGUGUGUGUGUGACAGUGUUGUCUCUGUGUGUGUGACAGUGUUGUGUCUCUCUCUCUCUGUGUGUGUGUGUGUGUGUGUGUGUGUGUGACAGUGUUGUCUCUCUCUGUGUGUGUGUGUGUGUGUGUGUGUGUGUGACAGUGUUUGUUGUCUCUCUGUGUGUGUGUGUGACAGUGUUGUCUCUGUGUGUGUGUGACAGUGUUGUGUGUGUGUGUGUGUGUGAGACAGUGUUGUCUGUGUGUGUGACAGUGUUGUCUGUGUGUGUGACAGUGGUGUGUGUGUGUGUGUGUCUCUGUGUGUGUGACAGUGUUGUGUGUGUGUGUGUGUGUGACAGUUGUGUGUGUGUGUGUGACAGUGGUGUCUCUGUGUGUGUGUGUGACAGUGGUGUCUCUGUGUGUGUGUGUGUGACAGUGGUGUGUGUGUGUGUGUGACAGUGUUGUCUCUGUGUGUGUGACAGUGUUGUCUCUGUGUGUGUGACAGUGUUGUCUCUGUGUGUGUGACAGUGUUGUCUCUGUGUGUGUGUGACAGUGUUGUCUCUGUGUGUGUGACAGUGUUGUCUCUGUGUGUGUGACAGUGUUGUGUGUGUGUGUGUGUGUGACAGUGGUGUCUCUGUGUGUGUGACAGUGUUGUCUGUGUGUGUGUGUGUGACAGUGUUGUCUCUGUGUGUGUGUGUGACAGUGUUGUCUCUGUGUGUGUGUGUGUGACAGUGUUGUCUCUGUGUGUGUGUGACAGUGUUGUGUGUGUGUGUGUGUGUGAGACAGUGUUGUCUGUGUGUGUGACAGUGUUGUCUGUGUGUGUGACAGUGGUGUGUGUGUGUGUGUGUCUCUGUGUGUGUGACAGUGGUGUCUGUGUGUGUGUGUCUGUGUGUGUGUGACAGUGGUGUCUCUGUGUGUGUGUGUGUCUGUGUGUGUGUGACAGUGUUGUUUCUGUGUGUGUGACAGUGUUGUCUCUGUGUGUGUGUGUGUGACAUUGUUGUCUCUGUGUGUGUGUGUGUGUGUGACAGUGUUGUCUCUGUGUGUGUGUGUGUGUGACAGUGUUGUCUCUGUGUGUGUGACAGUGUUUGUUGUCUCUGUGUGUGUGACAGUGUUGUCUGUGUCUGUGUGUGUGUGUGUGACAGUGUUGUCUGUGUGUGUGUGUGUGUGUGACAGUGUUGUCUCUGUGUGUGUGUGUGUGUGUGACAGUGUUGUCUCUGUGUGUGUGUGUGUGUGUGUGUGUGACAGUGGUGUCUGUGUGUGUGUGUGUCUGUGUGUGUGUGACAGUGUUGUCUCUGUGUGUGUGACAGUGUUGUCUCUGUGUGUUGUUGUCUCUGUGUGUGUGACAGUGGUGUCUGUGUGUGUGUGUGUGUGUGACUGGUGCCUCUGUGUGUGUGUGACAGUGGUGCCUGUGUGUGUGUGUGUGUGUGACAGUGUUGUCUCUGUGGGUGACAGUGUUGUCUCUGUGUGUGACAGUGUUGUCUCUGUGGGUGACAGUG
ensembl:lncRNA